rnacentral:snRNA from 1 species
UUACUUACCUGGCAGGUGGUUCACCCAGAGCUAGACUCAGUGCUGAUCCCUGAAAAUUCCCCAAAUGUGGAAAUAUCGACUGCAUAGUGUCUGCUGGUGGGGGACUGCAUUAGCAAACUCCCC